UAAAGCUUGGCAACUACUAAUCCAUUCUACAUGUUUAUAAUUAUGUUAUUUCAAGAAUGAUAUAAAUGGAAUCAUACAUUGUGUAACCUGGUGAUGUUAUCUCUUUCAUUCAGUAUAAUGCCCUUAAUAUCAAACCAAGUUGUUAGUGUUUUCAAUAAUGGAUUCUUUUAUAUUGUUGAGUAGUGUGGUUUUUAGGUACUACAGGUUGUUUAGCUGUUUACUCAUUACAAAGUAUCUAAGUUCUUUCUAAUUUUUGACUAUUAAAAAUAAAGCCACUUUCAACAUUCAUGUAGCAGGUUUUUGUGUGAACAUAACUUUCAUUUUGGGGAUAAAUGUCCAAGAGAACAAUUGUUAGUUUAAAUAGUAAGGAAAUGCUUAAUUUGAGAAGAAACUUCCAAACUAUUUUUUCAGAGUACCUAUACUAUUUUACAUUCCUACCAGCAAUGUGUCAGUAACCUAGUUUCUCUGCAUCCUCCUCAGCAUUUGAUGUUAUUCCCUUUUAAAAAUUCUUUAAUUUUAGCUGUUCUAAUAGCAGUAUAGUGAUAAACUAUUGUGGCUCAGAUUUUCAUUUCCCCAGUGUCUAAUGAUAUCAAACAUCUUUUCAUGUGCUUAUUUCUAGCUGUAUAUCCUGUUAGGUGAAAUGUCUCUUCAUGUCUAUUGCCUAUUUUCUAACUGAUUGUACUGUUGAGCUUUGAGAGUUCUUUAUUCUAGAUACAAGUCCUUUGUCAGGUAAGUUUUCUCAAUUUGUAGCUUUGCUAUAUACCCUGUUACCAGGGUCUUUUGUAGAACAUAGUUUUUAAUUUUGAAGUCCAGUGUGUAUCAGUUUUUCCUUUUAUGAUUAUUCUUUUGGUGUCAAACAUAAGAAUUCUUUGCCUACUCCUAAGUUCCAAAGAUUUUCUUCUUUGUCAUUUUAUAAAAGUUUUAUAGUUUUAUAUUUUGCAUUUAAGUCCAUGAUUCCAUGUAUACGAUGUGAAGUUCAGGUCAAGGUUCUUGUAUUUUUUUCCUGUCUUUAGAUACAUAAUUUCUCUAGCACCAUUUGUUGAAAAAGCUAUACUUCUUUGAUUAAAUUGAUUUUUAAUCUUUGUCAACAUCGCUUGAAUAUAUUUGUGUGGGACAGUUUCUAGGUUCUAUUUUCUUUCUUUCUUUUUUUUUUUAAUUGUCUUUUUGUCUUUUCUAGGGCCACACCUGCGGCAUAUGGAGGUUCCCAGGCUAGGGGUCUAAUCAGAGCUAUAGCUGCUGGCCUACACCAGAGCCACAGCAACGUGGGAUCUGAGCCAUGUUUGCGACGUACACCACAGCUCAUGGCAACACUGGAUCCUUAACCCACUGAGCAAGGCCAGGGAUCGAACCCGCAACCUCAUGGUUCCUAGUCAGACUCCUUAACCACUGGGCCAUGAUGGGAACACCAGAUUCUCUUUUCUGUUCUGUUGUCUGUCCUUCUACCAGCAAUGCAUGGUCCUGAGUACUGGAGCUCUGUAGUUUGACUUAACAUUGGGUAGAGUGAUUCCUACUGAAUUCUUCCUUUAAAAAAUUAUUUUAGUAAUGGUAGGCCCUUUGCUUUUUCAUAUACUUUGUAGAAUAUGAUUAUCUAUAUUUACAAAAAUCUUUUCUAGAAUUUUGAGGGAAAUUGGAUUAAACUUACAGAUCAAUUUCAGGAGAAUCAACACCUUUACUACAUUGCAUCUUCAAAAAUAUGAACACAAUAUAUGUUUCUAUUUAUGUAGUCUUUGAUUUCUUUCAGCAGCAUUCCAUAUUCAGUAUACAGAUCCCGUACAUUGUUUGUUUCAUGCCAAAUUAUUUAAUUUUCUUUGAAGCAAAUAUAAAAAUGAUAUUAUGGCUUAAGCUUUGGUUUCCACAUGCUUGUCAUUAGUAUAUAGAAAUAUGAGUGAUUUGUGUGUGUGUGUGUUGAUCUCAUAUCUUGCAGCCUUGCUAAACCAACUUCAUAGGUCUAGGAGUUUUUUUAAUCAAUUCCUUGGGAUUUUCUGCAGAAAAUCAUGUCAUUUGCAAAUAGUAUAGCCUUGGUUUAGAAGCUUAUAUGCCUGUGCUUUUCAUUUAUGGAAAAUAUUAGUUCUUUUUGGAAUUAUUCCCUACCAUAUGUUGUUUUCUAUAAUUUAGACUGGAUCAAUGAUUUUCUAAAAUAACUCUUAUGUAAAUAGUUCCUAAAGUGUGGUUGGGCACUCUUAGGAAUCUUUUGAGACAUUUUGAGUGUGUCCACAGAGUCAAAAUUUUGUUCAAAAUUAUGUUAGGACCUUACUUGCCAUUUUCACUUUUGUUCCUUCAUGAGCCUGCAGUGGAAUAUUCCAGAGGCUACAUGAUAUAUGAUAUUGCACAGAUUUAGGAAUCCAGCAGUCUUCCAUGAUGUAAGACAUUGAAGAUAUUUAUAAAAGUGCAAAAUAAUGGCACUCACUAAUUUUUUUGUUUGAAAAAUAUAGUUAUUUUUGCAGAUUUAUGUAAACAUAAAUGUAUUUUAACAUGAAUGCAUUUAUUUUAAAAAUGAAUUAUUAAAUAUGUCUAAAUUUCCUCAGAAAGUAAGAUAAUUUCUAAUAUGAAAAUAUUGAUAGAUAUAACUCAUAAAAACUCUUUGAGGUCUUUAAUGAUUUUUUAAAGUUUGAGGUUCUAAAAUUAAAAAAAAUUGAGAAUCUCUAAUCAAUCCUAUUUAAAUAAAUUAUCUGGGUUACCAGUUUAUCAUCUAACAGUGUCUAGUAUUAAAUAAAUAAAGGUUAAUUUUAGGAAAAUAUCUUUAUCUUGAAAGUUUGUUUAUGGCAUAAAAAGCAUUCUGUCAGCUUUACAACUCUUUCUUUAUAUAGAAUCCAAUAUUUAAGAGUGAGAAAGUCCAAUAUUUAAGAGUGAGAACAACAAAAUUGUUCUUGUUGAUAGGGCUCUGUCCUCACACCACAGGGGGCACAGCAGAUCACCUUCAAGGGAUCCUUUGAGCAUAAUGUGAAAAUAGUAGUUGUAGAGAAUUAAUUGCCCAAUAAUGUAAACAAGGAAUGGGUUGCUCUGUGUUGUCAGCACUGGACCCUUAAAUCUAGAAUUGUGUUUACUGGCUGACACAGAAUAGGGAUCAAUAAAUAUGUCCCGGGAAUGACUGACAACUGGGAUGUAGACAUAACUUCAGGUCAGUUUUGAAAUAGUAGUCACUGGCAAGAGCUAGGGACAGAAAUACCCAGAGUUAGAGUGAUCAGUGAGGGAAGAUAGAAAAAGGAAGGGUUAUGGGGCAGGUAGGGUCAUGUCAGGAGGGUCUUAGAAGAAGUGCAUGAAUAGUGGAGGAUGGGUCUUGGAGGGAGAGGAUAGAGAGAAAGGGAAGUAGGUGGAAGAGGGAGAGAACCAGGAUUAUGAGGUAGGUAAUUGGCAGCCCCAUCAGCUCCAGCCAUUAUUUGAAUUCAGUACAUGGAUUUUGUCAUCAGAGGCAAGAGAAACAGAUACACCUCCCAACUCCUCCUUCACCCACUUUUCCAAAUCCUCCUGCUCCUCAAUUUGACAGGCCCAUCCAGACCUGGGGGUAGGGAACAAAGGGAGAUAACAGGACUGGGUUUAAGCAAGAGGGGUGAGAAGAGGGGGGAACAAGGAAGUAGUGGUUGGUAAUGAGAUGGGAGUGGUGAUUGCAAUAAGGAGAGGUCAGAAAUGAAAUAAAAAAAAAAAAAAGAAAAGAAAUGAAAUAAGAGUAGCCAAACAUCCUCCUCUGAACUAUGAGCCCAAAAAGUUGGGUUCUUGGCUCCCAUCUUCUCUGUGGCCAGGGGUUGGCCAUGGCCCCUUCUGAACUUCUAUAAAACAAGGAAAGGUAGAUGAGGCUCCAUAAGCCCUGCACUAUGACGUCUCUUUAGGCUGUGGGUAGAGAUUCUUUAGGAUAUAUCUCUGUAUUUUGAAGAAAGAUUCCACAGGUGUUUGUUGAAUGAAUGAGUGAUGGAUCAAAUUCCUUCAUGUGGCUUCCCAUCAUUUUUAAGAUCAAAUUCAGCCUCUCACCAUGGUCAAAAAUACCUCCCCCCCAGACUUGUUCCCAUCUCCUAGGCCACUCAUCUCUAGCCACACUUCCCUUCUUGCUGUUCUUUUAACAAGCCAGGAUCAUACUACUUCAGUACCUAAAGGCCUUUCCACUUGUCGUUUAUUCUGCCUGACUGUACCUUUUUAGCUUUCAAGUUUUGUGUCACCUCAGAAAGACCUUCACAGACUCCCUUAUCUGAAGUGGCCAGAGUAAUUAUCGUUUUGUUUUGUGCCUCCUCCAGUUAUGGCAUGGCAAACUUUCCCUGUAAAGGGCCUAGGGGAGCAAAAAAAGGAAAAAGAAAUAAUAGUCAUUGAAGUGAAAUUUUAUCAACAGGAAAAAAAAAAGAAGUUUAUUUCCAUGGGGUCUUAACCACUUAAUGUAUUUCACAUCUAAAUAUAUUCAGACAAAUAUCUGAGUUACUCAUAAUUGAUAAAUGAAUAUAUGAGAAAACUUAGGCAAGAAGAAGUUACUGUUGAUGCUGUUUUUCUGGGAGAGAAGGGAAAUAUAUGAAAGGUAAGAGGAAGGCUGAUUUAAUUGUAGAAGGUAAAGAAAAUGACCAGUCAGGAACAGUUUUUAACAGCAUUCUCCUUGUUACAUGAAUUUUGCCAAAUUGUUAUCACUUUAAAUUUUCUCACUCAGACAGUUGAGCACAUCCAAGUGCUUAGUGAUGAUGUCUGCAGAGUAAUGUUAUAAACAUAGGACUAUCCACCAGACUAGAUCAUCAUUGAAAGAAUCAUGUGAUUUUCCUGAGGCUAUUCUAGAAAGAAAAAGAUGAUUAUAUUAACAGAUGUGCGAAUUUUUAAAAAAAAAAUUUGAUGCAGUAGUUUAAGGCUGUUGCUUAUUAAGGCAGGAGGCCUUCUGCACACCCUGGCUUGCCACAAUGCUGAUUCUUCUGGGGUUCCAUGCUGUGACAUUAGCCUUUGUUGGCUGCGAUGGGAGUGAUUUCCAGUAGCUUUCCUUAUCUCAUGACAAGGCUAAAUGCAAACAAACUAGGCCACCAUGCCACCUAGGACCCUGUUUCUCACAGUCAGCAGGAAACACAUUCUUUACAAGAUUUCUAUUUUUACUUAUUAAAAAAUGUGGGCCUGUUUGUUGUAUCAUCAUUAAAACAGAGGAUAAGGAAAAUUUGAUGGAUAACUUCCUGAUUAAAAUAAAUGUCUUAAAAAAAAAAAAAAAAAAAA
rnacentral:lncRNA from 1 species